AGACCCGAAACCCGGUGAUCUAGCCAUGGGCAGGUUGAAGGUUGGGUAACACUAACUGGAGGACCGAACCGACUAAUGUUGAAAAAUUAGCGGAUGACCUGUGGCUGGGGGUGAAAGGCCAAUCAAACCGGGAGAUAGCUGGUUCUCCCCGAAAGCUAUUUAGGUAGCGCCUCGUGAAUUCAUCUCCGGGGGUAGAGCACUGUUUCGGCUAGGGGGCCAUCCCGGCUUACCAACCCGAUGCAAACUGCGAAUACCGGAGAAUGUUAUCACGGGAGACACACGGCGGGUGCUAACGUCCGUCGUGAAGAGGGAAACAACCCAGACCGCCAGCUAAGGUCCCAAAGUCAUGGUUAAGUGGGAAACGAUGUGGGAAGGCCCAGACAGCCAGGAUGUUGGCUUAGAAGCAGCCAUCAUUUAAAGAAAGCGUAAUAGCUCACUGGUCGAGUCGGCCUGCGCGGAAGAUGUAACGGGGCUAAACCAUGCACCGAAGCUGCGGCAGCGAACGUAUCACCCAAGACAACUUUACGGAGUUGACGAUUGACGGAGCGAAGCGACGUCAAAGCGUUCAUUAAAGUCGAGUUGGCUUAGGGAUACGUUCGUUGGGUAGGGGAGCGUUCUGUAAGCCUGUGAAGGUGGCCUGUGAGGGUUGCUGGAGGUAUCAGAAGUGCGAAUGCUGACAUAAGUAACGAUAAAGC
rnacentral:rRNA from 1 species